AACGAACGCUGGCGGCGUGCCUAACACAUGCAAGUCGAACGGGAUUGGGGGGCUUGCUCCUCAAUCUAGUGGCGCACGGGUGAGUAACGCGUAGAUAAUCUGCCUGAUGAUCCGGGAUAACACUUCGAAAGGGGUGCUAAUACCGUAUAAGCCCACGGUUACUCUGGUAAUUGCGGGAAAAGGGGGGACCUUUAUGGCCUUCUGUCAUCAGAUGAGUCUGCGUACCAUUAGCUAGUUGGUAGGGUAAAGGCCUACCAAGGCUACGAUGGUUAGCUGGUCUGAGAGGAUGAUCAGCCACACUGGAACUGAGACACGGUCCAGACUCCUACGGGUGGCAG
rnacentral:rRNA from 1 species